rnacentral:rRNA from 1 species
CACCGCGGUUAUACGAGAGACUCAAGUUGACAGUCAUCGGCGUAAAGAGUGGUUAAGAUGUACAAAAACUAGAGCUAAAUGCCCUCAAAGUUGUUAUACGCUCUCGAGGGAAAGAAGCCCAACUACGAAAGUGGCUCUAACAUAUCUGAUUCCACGAAAGCUAGGGCA